UCACGAUGUAGGAAGCCAGAGGAGUAAGAGGUCUGGACUCUGUUCUCAGCUGCUGUGUGGUGAUGUCUGUGAUAAGACCGGUGUGGCCUGUAGACAUGAACCAUCCAUCUCCAUUAUCCAUUCAUCUCCAUCAGUUUACCUGGACCAGUCUAGAGGGAUAGUGCAAGUGAAAUGUUCAGAAAGUUUGCAGAUGCUGCUUGUGGUAGCUGAACUACAACAGACAGAAAGAUUCUCACAGAGUUCUGCACAAGAAUAACCUGCGGCUGGGAAAACUGUCUCCAACCAUCCCUCUGCUUCUUGUGUCACAACCUACCUGGAGCUUUUAUGCACACUGCUCAGCUCACCACCACGAAAGUCUUGUGCUUGUUGGGAUGUUUGCUGCAAUCGUGGAGGGAGGAACCC